rnacentral:ncRNA from 1 species
AACAUAAAGUUUUGGUCCUAAACUUGCUCUUGUUUUUUAUCAAAAUUAUACAUGCAAGCCUCCACACACCAGUGAGAAUGCCCAUACGUCCCUAAAUAGCCAGCUGGAGCAGGUAUCAGGAUACAAUAUCAACUUUUAGCCAAAGACACCUUGCAAUAGCCACACCCACACGGGCUUUCAGCAGUAAUUAACAUUAAAACAUGAGCGAAAGCUCGAUUAAGUUAUGAUAAACAUGGUCGGUAAAUUUCGUGCCAGCCACCGCGGUUAUACGAAAGAUCAAAAACAACAGCCAACGGCGUAAAGCGUGACUAGGAGCAACCUAAAUUAAAGGAAAACAACGGCCUAGUUGUAAAACACUACUGCACGUUAGAACCACAACAUAAAUGCCUUUAAACCACUUUACCUCACGAAAGCUAAGAAACAAACUGGGAUUAGACACCCCACUAUGCUUAGCCCUUAACACAGAUAGUACAAAUACAACACUAUCCGCCAGAGAACUACAAGCAAAAAGCUCGAAACUCUAAGGACUUGGCGGUGCUUCAAAUCAACCUAGAGGAGCCUGUCCUAUAAUCGAUACUCCCCGUUUCACCUUACCCCUUCUAGCCAAACAGCCUAUAUACCGCCGUCGCCAGCUCACCCUGUAAAAGAAACAAAGUGAGCAAAAAAGUUUUUUACUAACACGUCAGGUCAAGGUGUAGCACACGGAGGGGAAAGAGAUGGGCUACAUUUGCUCAAAGAGUAAAUACGAACAGUACACUGAAACACACACUUGAAGGCGGAUUUAGUAGUAAAAUAAAUAAGAAUAACUAUUUUAAACCUGCUCUGAAGCGCGCACACACCGCCCGUCACCCUCAUCACAUGUGACACAACACAAAAUAUUACACAACAGACACAGCUCAAAUGAGGU